rnacentral:rRNA from 1 species
UACGGAGGGGGCUAGCGUUGUUCGGAAUUACUGGGCGUAAAGCGCGCGUAGGCGGUUACUCAAGUCGGAUGUGAAAGCCCUCGGCUUAACUGAGGAAGUGCACCCGAAACUGAGUAGCUAGAGUACUAAAGAGGGUCGCGGAAUUCCCGGUGUAGAGGUGAAAUUCGUAGAUAUCGGGAGGAACACCAGUGGCGAAGGCGGCCGGCUGGGCCUUGA